GACGAACGCUGGCGGCGUGCUUAACACAUGCAAGUCGAACGAAGUGGCGAACGGGUGAGUAAUACGUGGGUAACCUGACCUCAUUUUUGGGAUAAGCCUUGGAAACGGGGACUAAUACCGAAUAAAGGGGGAUGGGCUCGCGGCCUAUCAGCGUGUUGGUGGGGUCAUGGCCUACCAAGGCGGUGACGGGUAGCCGGCCUGAGAGGUCGACCUGCAACAUGGGGACUGAGAUACGGCCCGGACGCCUACGGGAGGCAGCAGUAGGGAAUAUGGCGCAAUGGGGGAAACCCUGACGCAGCAACGCCGCGUGGAGGAUGUCACUUGUCGGAGCGGAAACUCCUGUUGCGGUACCUAACGAAUAAGCACCGGCUAACUCCGUGCCAGCCGCCGCGGUAAUAC
rnacentral:rRNA from 1 species